UUUCCAUUUGACAGCCGAACCCACUCCCAAAGCCAUACCACCAUGAUGUUCUUGUUGACUCUAAUACUCAAACUAGCAAGUUUAAUACUAUUUUUUCUUUAUAGUUGAACCUUAUUCCUUCUACAUAUCAAUAUACAUCAAAACUCCACCAUACAAAUCACACCCACAUUAACACUUCCAUUCUCGGUCCCAAACGACCCUCCCCAAAACCUCCACAUUUUCAAAGUUCACUCCAAAAUUAAGUCUAAAUUCAUGUCAAGCUCAAGGUUUUCAAGUUCAAAUCUCAAAGUUUAUUUCUCCAAUCCUUCUCCUUGCUUGCUUUUUUGUUGCAUUUUCAAAACUAUGGAACGGUUGGAAUAGGAGAACCCAUUUGAGAUUCGAGUACUUAGUGGCGUUCAUUUUCUAGAAGUCUUAGCUUAUUUUGCUUCCGCUGUGCAAUGAAGAUACCGGUCCAGUCACGCCAAGCUCUGAUAUUUCGGGGUGUGACAGUAGUAACCCUCCUUAAGCUAACCAUACCAUGUAUAAAAGUAUUCGUAAUUACUGUAACAUGUAUUCCACCCCCGAAGUAUAAAAACUGAAAACAGUUAAGAGAAAAGGGGGACAUGAACUCACUGAAGUGCGUGUCGAAAUAGUCCGUCCCAAUCAACCUGCUGCGUGACGACCUACACGUACUAACUUCUAUUAGACGGACGGCCGUGCCUUGGCUUAAGGUUUAAAGUUUUUGGGAAAUAGUUAGUCAACUAUUUCGUAUUUAUACUUGUUAAUUAUUCUAUAAAUAUAUUCCUUCCCAAGGUUGGGGUUAUUAAUACAUGUGUGUUUUUAUA
rnacentral:lncRNA from 1 species